CCUACGGGAGGCAGCAGUGAGGAAUAUUGGGCAAUGGGCGCGAGCCUGAACCAGCCAAGUAGCGUGAAGGAUGACUGCCCUACGGGUUGUAAACUUCUUUUAUAGGGGAAUAAAAUGUGCCAGGUGUGGGAUUUUGUAUGUACCAUAUGAAUAAGGAACGGCUAACUCCGUGCCAGCAGCCGCGGUAAUACGGAGGAGCCGAGCGUUAUCCGGAUUUAUGGGGUUUAACGGGAGCGUAGGUGGUUUGUUAAGUCAGUUGGGAAAGUUUGCGGCUCAACCGGAAAAUUGCAGUUGAAACUGGCAGUCUUGAGUACUGUAGAGGUGGGCGGAAUUCGUGGUGUAGCGGU
rnacentral:rRNA from 1 species